rnacentral:lncRNA from 1 species
GCUUAAAGAUAAAACAAGGGAUGCCUUGACCCUACAGAUUUGUUCUCUGCAUUAUUGUAGAAGGGGACAAAACAGAAGGUACAAUCGCAACUGAUUAGAGGCAAACUUUUCUUCAGAAGUGGGCAGGUUAGCUAAGAAGUUUUUAAGAGAUAAGUUUCUCUACUUCUCCCUUUCUUAGGAAAAACAAACAAACAAACUUUUGGAAUUUGGAACCAGAAGGAUACUAGAUACCGGAUUCCUAAAAAAAGAAAGAAAGAAAGAAAGAAAGAAAGAAAGAAAGAAAGAAAGAAAGAAAGAAAGAAAGAAAGAAAGAAAGAAAGAAAGAAAGAAAGAAAGCUUUCCAAUGGCACCUUGAGGGAUGUUGAAACUUUGAAGGGUCACUAAGAAAAGUUUCAUAAGUCAAGGAUUAUCCUGUACUUCCACCAGAGAACUAGCUAAGAUAAUGUUUUUUGGGGAAAAGAAUAAAAAUUCACCAAGACCAGCCUUCA